rnacentral:rRNA from 1 species
UACAGAGGUCUCAAGCGUUGUUCGGAUUUAUUGGGCGUAAAGAGCGUGUAGGCGGCCAGGUAGGUCUGGUGUGAAAACUCGAGGCUUAACCUCGAGAUGUCAUCGGAAACCAUCUGGCUAGAGUCCGGAAGAGGAGAGUGGAAUUCCUGGUGUAGCGGUGAAAUGCGCAGAUAUCAGGAAGAACACCAAUGGCGAAAGCAGCUCUCUGGGACGGUACUGACGCUGAGACGCGAAAGCGUGGGAGCGAACAGG